GACGAACCGUGCGAACGUUGUUCGGAUUCACUGGGCUUAAAGGGCGCGUAGGCGGGUCAUCAAGUCGGUGGUGAAAUCUUUCGGCUUAACCGGAAGACGGCCUCCGAUACUGGUGGUCUUGAGGAGGGUAGGGGCAUGUGGAACUUCGGGUGGAGCGGUGAAAUGCGUUGAGAUCGGAAGGAACGCCCGUGGCGAAAGCGAGGUCCUGGACGUUUUUCUGACGCUGAGACGCGAAAGCCAGGGGAGCAAACGGG
rnacentral:rRNA from 1 species